rnacentral:sRNA from 1 species
CCGGAGCAGGGCCCCAAGCCCCGGGCCUGGUGGGGGACGCGCUUCUUCCCACACCCUGAGCCUCAGCAGCUCCAGCCAGCGGACCCGACGGCUGAGAGUGUCCUAACCACUUUGGAGAGCGAUAACUUGAGUUAAAGCACCUGUCUGUGCCUGGCCUCCAGCAGAUCUUGGUCCAGUGAGAAGAUGGGGAGCCCCGAGGAUGAUCUGAUUGGGAUUCCAUUCCCGGACCACAGCAGUGAGCU